AGUGAACGCUGGCGGUAGGCCUAACACAUGCAAGUCGAACGGCAGCACAGUAAGAGCUUGCUCUUACGGGUGGCGAGUGGCGGACGGGUGAGGAAUACAUCGGAAUCUACUUUUUCGUGGGGGAUAACGUAGGGAAACUUACGCUAAUACCGCAUACGACCUACGGGUGAAAGCAGGGGAUCUUCGGACCUUGCGCGAUUGAAUGAGCCGAUGUCGGAUUAGCUAGUUGGCGGGGUAAAGGCCCACCAAGGCGACGAUCCGUAGCUGGUCUGAGAGGAUGACAAGCCACACUGGAAGGGAGCCCCGGCCCAGACCCCGCGGGGAGGAACGAGUGGGAAAUAUGGGACAAGGGCCGAAAGCCUGACCCAGCCAUACCGGGGGGGGAAAAAAGGCCUUGGGGUGGCAAAGCCUUUUUGUGGGGAAAAAAAAGCAGAAGUUUAAUCCCCCGUUUUUCUGAGGGUCCCAAAAGAAUAAGCACCGGCUAACUUGGUG
rnacentral:rRNA from 1 species